AGAGUGAACGCUGGCGGCAGGCCUAACACAUGCAAGUCGAACGGCAGCACAGGAGAGCUUGCUCUCUGGGUGGCGAGUGGCGGACGGGUGAGGAAUACGUCGGAAUCUGCCUAUUUGUGGGGGAUAACGUAGGGAAACUUACGCUAAUACCGCAUACGACCUACGGGUGAAAGCGGAGGACCUUCGGGCUUCGCGCAGAUAGAUGAGCCGACGUCGGAUUAGCUAGUUGCGGGUAAAGGCCACCAAGGCGACGAUCCGUAGCUGGUCUGAGAGGAUGAUCAGCCACACUGGAACUGAGACACGGUCCAGACUCCUACGGGAGGCAGCAGUGGGGAAUAUUGGACAAUGGGCGCAAGCCUGAUCCAGCCAUGCCGCGUGUGUGAAGAAGGCCUUCGGUGUAAAGCACUUUUUGUACGGAAGAAAAGCUACUGGUUAAUACCCUGGAGUCAUGACGGUAACCGUAAAGAAUAAGACUAACCGGACUAAACUUACGUCGACC
rnacentral:rRNA from 1 species